UCGAGCGCCCCGCAAGGGGAGCGGCAGACGGGUGAGUAACGCGUGGGAACGUACUCAUUUGCUACGGAAUAACUCAGGGAAACUUGUGCUAAUACCGUAUGUGCCCGAAAGGGGAAAGAUUUAUCGGCAAAUGAUCGGCCCGCGUUGGAUUAGCUAGUUGGUGGGGUAAAGGCCUACCAAGGCGACGAUCCAUAGCUGGUCUGAGAGGAUGAUCAGCCACACUGGGACUGAGACACGGCCCAGACUCCUACGGGAGGCAGCAGUGGGGAAUAUUGGACAAUGGGCGCAAGCCUGAUCCAGCCAUGCCGCGUGAGUGAUGAAGGCCCUAGGGUUGUAAAGCUCUUUCACCGGUGAAGAUAAUGACGGUAACCGGCAGAAGAAGCCCCGGCUAACUUCGUGCCACCAGCCGCGGUA
rnacentral:rRNA from 1 species